GAUGAUCGCUGGCGGCGUGCCUAAUACAUGCAAGUCGAGCGAACGGACGAGAAGCUUGCUUCUCUGAUGUUAGCGGCGGACGGGUGAGUAACACGUGGAUAACCUACCUAUAAGACUGGGAUAACUUCGGGAAACCGGAGCUAAUACCGGAUAAUAUUUUGAACCGCAUGGUUCAAAAGUGAAAGACGGUCUUGCUGUCACUUAUAGAUGGAUCCGCGCUGCAUUAGCUAGUUGGUAAGGUAACGGCUUACCAAGGCAACGAUGCAUGGCCGACCUGAGAGGGUGAUCGGCCACACUGGAACUGGGACACGGUCCAGACUCCUACGGGAGGCAGCAGUAGGGAAUCUUCCGCAAUGGGCGAAAGCCUGACGGAGCAACGCCGCGUGAGUGAUGAAGGUCUUCGGAUCGUAAAACUCUGUUAUUAGGGAAGAACAUAUGUGUAAGUAACUGUGCACAUCUUGACGGUACCUAAUCAGAAAGCCACGGCUAACUAC
rnacentral:rRNA from 1 species